rnacentral:rRNA from 1 species
UCGUCAGCUCGUGUCGUGAGAUGUUGGGUUAAGUCCCGCAACGAGCGCAACCCUUGUCAUUAGUUGCCAUCAUUAAGUUGGGCACUCUAAUGAGACUGCAAAAUGACAAACCGGAGGAAGGUGGGGAUGACGUCAAGUCAUCAUGCCCCUUAUGACCUGGGCUACACACGUGCUACAAUGGACGGUACAACGAGAAGCGAACCUGCGAAGGCAAGCGGACCUCAUAAAGCCGUUCUCAGUUCGGACUGUAGGCUGCAACUCGCCUACACGAAGCUGGAAUCGCUAGUAAUCGCGGAUCAGCACGCCGCGGUGAAUACGUUCCCGGGCCUUGUACACACCGCCCGUCACACCAUGAGAGUCUGUAACACCCAAAGCCGGUGGGAUAACCUUUAUAGGAGUCAGCCGUCUAAGGCUCAUCUGACAAGAUGAUUAGGGUGAAGUCGUAACAAGGUAACCGUA